rnacentral:rRNA from 1 species
UACGUAGGGUGCAAGCGUUGUCCGGAAUUAUUGGGCGUAAAGAGCUCGUAGGCGGUCUGUCGCGUCGGAUGUGAAAACCCAGGGCUCAACCCUGGGCCUGCAUUCGAUACGGGCAGACUAGAGUUCGGUAGGGGAGACUGGAAUUCCUGGUGUAGCAGUGAAAUGCGCAGAUAUCAGGAGGAACACCGAUGGCGAAGGCAGGUCUCUGGGCAUUAACUGACGCUGAGGAGCGAAAGCAUGGGGAGCGAACAGG